CUGCGCUAAGUUAAGUUAUAAUUCAUUGGGAAAGUGACUGAUACAUGUCACCAUAGCCUUGGCCCUCGCAUAUCUAAUUCAGAAAGAUUCAUAACCAGCGAUUGGCCAAUGAAACCUGAAAAUCUAACAAUAUCUAUGGUGGAAUAAACUAAAGCUAUACCUUUUCUGCGUGUUGAUUUCUAAUUGGUCCAUGUUCACUUAUCUUGGAGAAAAUUGGCCAAUUAAUGAAGUUAUAUUUUGUGCUUGGGUGGAUGCAGAAGUAAGCACAGAACACUAAAGUUGCAUAGCUAUUCAGAUCACAACAUUUGGACACAAACAAUAAUAGAAAGCGAGAUGGAAUGCAAAUGGGGCUUGUUGGGUACGGUGGCGGUUGUGGCGGUGGUUGCGGCGGUUGUGGUGGUUUUGUGUGGAAAUGUUGUGGAGGGUUCAUUUGGCAUCCAACUCAACCCGUGCACAGUUGCUCAGUGUGUCGCUGAGUGCAAAAAAGCUCUGCAUGAGAAGUAUCUUAGUGCAACUUGUGCUAAUGGGACUCCAGGAAAGUUCUGUAUCUGUCUAGGUUGAUGAUAAAUUCACACAAUUAUUAGUUUCUGUAUUGAAGUUUUUUUUCUUGCUAUGUGAUGUUAAAAGAUCUAUAGGUUUGUUAUUGGGUUUAAUUAAGCACUCAAAGGUCACAUUAUUUCCCCUACUUAUUGUAAUUUUAUAUUGUUCUACUAGUUUAUUAAGAAAAAUAUGUAUAUGUAAUGUGAUAUCUGUAUUUAUAUUUCUAUCUCAAGUGAUGAUUACAAUAAUUAAUUUUAUUGUAUUGUCACUAGUAGAUUAAUCUGUUAAAUCUUUGGAGAUUGUGUGUAUUA